rnacentral:rRNA from 1 species
GCCUCGCACUCUGGGAUAAGCCUGGGAAACUGGGUCUAAUACCGGAUAUGACCUUACAUCGCAUGGUGUUUGGUGGAAAGAUUUAUCGGUGCGAGAUGGGCCCGCGGCCUAUCAGCUUGUUGGUGGGGUAAUGGCCUACCAAGGCGACGACGGGUAGCCGGCCUGAGAGGGCGACCGGCCACACUGGGACUGAGACACGGCCCAGACUCCUACGGGAGGCAGCAGUGGGGAAUAUUGCACAAUGGGCGAAAGCCUGAUGCAGCGACGCCGCGUGAGGGAUGACGGCCUUCGGGUUGUAAACCUCUUUCGACAGGGACGAAGCGCAAGUGACGGUACCUGUAGAAGAAGCACCGGCCAACUACGUGCCAGCAGCCGCGGUAAUACGUAGGGUGCGAGCGUUGUCCGGAAUUACUGGGCGUAAAGAGCUUGUAGGCGGCUUGUCGCGUCGAUCGUGAAAACUUGGGGCUCAACCCCAAGCUUGCGGUCGAUACGGGCAGGCUUGAGUACUUCAGGGGAGACUGGAAUUCCUGGUGUAGCGGUGAAAUGCGCAGAUAUCAGGAGGAACACCGGUGGCGAAGGCGGGUCUCUGGGAAGUAACUGACGCUGAGAAGCGAAAGCGUGGGUAGCGAACAGGAUUAGAUACCCUGGUAGUCCACGCCGUAAACGGUGGGUACUAGGUGUGGGUUUC